ACUCCAACCCAUGUGAACAUACCUACCGUUGCUUCGGCGGGAUUGCCCCGGGCGCCUCGUGUGCCCCGGAUCAGGCGCCCGCCUAGGAAACUUAAUUCUUGUUUUAUUUUGGAAUCUUCUGAGUAGUUUUUACAAAUAAAUAAAAACUUUCAACAACGGAUCUCUUGGUUCUGGCAUCGAUGAAGAACGCAGCGAAAUGCGAUAAGUAAUGUGAAUUGCAGAAUUCAGUGAAUCAUCGAAUCUUUGAACGCACAUUGCGCCCGCCAGUAUUCUGGCGGGCAUGCCUGUCUGAGCGUCAUUUCAACCCUCAUGCCCCUAGGGCGUGGUGUUGGGGAUCGGCCAAAGCCCGCGAGGGACGGCCGGCCCCUAAAUCUAGUGGCGGACCCGUCGUGGCCUCCUCUGCGAAGUAGUGAUAUUCCGCAUCGGAGAGCGACGAGCCCCUGCCGUUAAACCCCCAACUUUCCAAGGUUGACCUCAGAUCAGGUAGGAAUACCCGCUGAACUUAAGCAUAUCAAUAAGCGGAGGAA
rnacentral:rRNA from 1 species